GACGUAGGGCGCGAGCGUUGUCCGGAUUUAUUGGGCGUAAAGAGCUCGUAGGCGGUGUGUCGCGUCGGCCGUGAAAACCUGGGGCUCAACUCUGGGCGUGCGGUCGAUACGGGCAUCACUGGAGUUCGGCAGGGGAGACUGGAAUUCCUGGUGUAGCGGUGAAAUGCGCAGAUAUCAGGAGGAACACCGGUGGCGAAGGCGGGUCUCUGGGCCGAUACUGACGCUGAGGAGCGAAAGCGUGGGGAGCGAACAGG
rnacentral:rRNA from 1 species